GGCCUUCCAUUUCUUGCGAUGGCCCCCUAUAUUCAGUCUGUCGGCUUGACCGACUAUGGCGAUAAAUGGGCGAUGAAAUAAGCCGUUCGGACCCGGGGGCGGUACCCGGCGCCUCCACCAAAAGCUGCUGCUGAUGACAGAGCGGUUUUUGCUGGGGGCGAAAUAGGAUCGACGAAGGUGUAAAGAUCGUACUUUUGCCCGGCAUGGUACCAC
rnacentral:tmRNA from 1 species